GCCUUCCCCACAAGGAACAACAGUGCUUGGACGGCUGCCAAGAAGCUGUUUUCAGAAGCGGUAUGCAAAUAUGAAAUACCUGAGAGGGGCAUUUGUAGGGGAGUUGUGCUCUGGGAAUUACUCACAAAUUCCACAUAGCCAGAAGAUUGAGGCCUGUUGGGUAAGUGGGAAAAAUGAACCCUACUAUCAAAGAAGCACUAAGAAAGAUCGGAAAUAACACUGGCAAAAAUUGGCCUGAGAAGCUGCCGCUUAUUCUGGAGACCAUUCAUAGCAGUGACAGGCUGAGGACUAAAAUCCAGCUAUAUCAAAUUCUCUUUGGGCAAGCUACAAAAUUGGUUGUCAGCGCAGAGCAAACUGUGGAAUUGACAAGGGACAACCCAACUGGGACUCAUGAGCACUGGCAAUGGCUGAAGCAGCAGCAGGAAAAUAAAAGCACCCUACAGUGUACAGGGUGAAUCAAGCUAUUGAGCUAAUAAACAAAAGAAUGGACCAGCAAAAACUGUGGGAAGCAAGAAAUCAGGCACAAUGCCCCGAGGCCAACUGGAUACCAGGACCUGUGGACGUGGUGUGUUUUUAUUGUCAUUCUCACAGGAUUGUUGGGCGCCGGAUUGUGCUGCUGCUACUCCCCUUGUUGCGGGUGCACGUUUUGCAACCAGUCCAGGCUGCACAUUCGCUUCACUG